AUACGGAGGGGGUUAGCGUUGUUCGGAAUUACUGGGCGUAAAGCGCACGUAGGCGGAAUGUUAAGUUAGAAGUGAAAUCCCAGGGCUCAACCCUGGAACUGCCUUUAAUACUGGCAAUCUAGAGACCGAGAGAGGUGAGUGGAAUUCCGAGUGUAGAGGUGAAAUUCGUAGAUAUUCGGAGGAACACCAGUGGCGAAGGCGGCUCACUGGCUCGGUACUGACGCUGAGGUGCGAAAGCGUGGGGAGCAAACAGGAUUAGAAACCCUAGUAGUCC
rnacentral:rRNA from 1 species